GAUAUCGGAAAUAUCGGUAGUCCAAAAACACGGAAAUUUCGAUGGAAAUAUCGGGAUAUUAUCAAUAUCGAUAAAAAAUGAAUAAAAACUACGGAAAUUGUAAGAAAAACUUGGAAAUUUUUAUUGAAACUUUGCAGGGUGUUUAUUUAGUCAAUUAUCUAUUAGUUUAUCACAAAAAAAUUGGAAGGAAAUGCAUUGCAUGAUAGAUAUAACUAAUUUAAGUUGAUUAUAUAGCGAGCUGGUAAACAUUGUGAGUGUAGAAAAUAUGUAGUAAUUAAUGAAAGAAGUUUAAACACACCAUAAUCAUUUAUAUAUAAUGAAUUAGUACAAUAUUUUAUACUUUAUACAUUGCAUGGUAAGAUACAUGAGUGACUUAGCAAAGUCUAAAAUAUCGAUGAUAUCGGAAAUAUCGGUAGUCCAAAAAAAUAUCGGUAGUCCAAAAACACAGAAAUUUCGAUGUAAAUAUCGGGAUAUUAUCGGUAGUCCAAAAUAUCGGUAGUCCAAAAACACAGAAAUUUAGACCAUGGUGAAAACCUACUAUUUAAAUCUGCUUCCCCACACACUAGCCACUAGCUUUCUGUUUAUUAAGGC
rnacentral:lncRNA from 1 species